rnacentral:rRNA from 1 species
GGGUACACGAGCGGCGAACGGGUGAGUAACACGUGGGUAACCUGCCCUGUACUCUGGGAUAAGCCUUGGAAACGAGGUCUAAUACCGGAUAUGACCACUGAUCGCAUGAUCGGUGGUGGAAAGUUCCGGCGGUAUGGGAUGGACCCGCGGCCUAUCAGCUUGUUGGUGGGGUAAUGGCCUACCAAGGCGACGACGGGUAGCCGGCCUGAGAGGGUGAUCGGCCACACUGGGACUGAGACACGGCCCAGACUCCUACGGGAGGCAGCAGUGGGGAAUAUUGCACAAUGGGCGAAAGCCUGAUGCAGCGACGCCGCGUGAGGGAUGACGGCCUUCGGGUUGUAAACCUCUUUCAGCAGGGACGAAGCGCAAGUGACGGUACCUGCAGAAGAAGCACCGGCUAACUACGUGCCAGCAGCCGCGGUAAUACGUAGGGUGCGAGCGUUGUCCGGAAUUAUUGGGCGUAAAGAGCUCGUAGGCGGUUUGUCGCGUCGGCCGUGAAAACUUGGGGCUUAACCCCAAGCUUGCGGUCGAUACGGGCAGACUUGAGUUCGGCAGGGGAGACUGGAAUUCCUGGUGUAGCGGUGAAAUGCGCAGAUAUCAGGAGGAACACCGGUGGCGAANGCGGGUCUCUGGGCCGAUGCUGACGCUGAGGAGCGAAAGCGUGGGGAGCGAACAGGAUUAGAUACCCUGGUAGUCCACGCCGUAAACGGUGGGUGCUAGGUGUGGGGGGCUUCCACGCCCUCUGUGCCGCAGCUAACGCAUUAAGCACCCCGCCUGGGGAGUACGGCCGCAAGGCUAAAACUCAAAUGAAUUGACGGGG